CUCUCACCCACAGCACAGGAUGUAACGGAGCAAACCGAGUUGUUGUUGAAGUGCCCAUCGCUCGGGUGGGGGUCGGGUCUCGGGGCGGAGUUGAGGUGAAGCGCUGUGAAGGGGACGAGUCUCCGCGUUCUGACGGACUCUCAGAUGUUGUGGUUCUUCUUACUGUUUGGCCGCCUUCGCCUGGUCAGCGGCUGUGGCCGAGGAGAAUAUCUAACCCGUGGACAGUGCUGCCCGAUGUGUCCUGUGGGAAGUCGAGUGUCAAAACAUUGCACAGCAAUGACCAACACUGGAUGCAGAGUUUGCACUCAAGGUGAAUACAUCGACCAUCCCAAUGGGCUGGAAAAAUGCCUCAAGUGUGACAGUUGUGAUUCAGGAUUGGGACUUUUAGAUGCACAGCAAUGCACCUCUCUCCAAAAUACUAUUUGUCAUUGCAAAGAGGGUUAUUUCUGUGUGGAGAAGAAAGGGAGUGGAUGUGAGAUGUGCAGAAAGCACAGCCUGGGUCCUGUAGGUGAAGGAGUUAAAAAGAAAGGAACAAUCUGGGAAGACACUGUGUAUGAAAAGUGUCCUCAUGGAACAUAUUCAAAUAAUGUUUCUACUGAAGCGUGUAAACCAUGGACUAAAUGUGAAGAAUUGAACAAGCUUGAGGUUGGACCAGGAAACUCUUCCGUGGAUGCAGAGUGCAAAGAGAAGACAAACAUAGCACUUAUAGUAUUGUCUAUUGUAAUACCUGUAGUGAUUGUAGUGAUUGGUGUUGGAAUUUUGUGGUGGAAGAGACAAGCUGUGACAAAGUGUACAGACGGGUGUUGGACUCACGCGGAUGCCGUCCGGGCCACAAAAUAUUGUCCAAGGGACACACAAUGUCCAACUUCAGGACCUCCCCCAACAGCGAAUGAUCCUCUCAUAGCAGCGUCAGGAACCGAAGCAAAUGAUGUUGACAAAACACAAUUAGGAAACAAUCAGAAAGAGGAGGAUGUGAAUUUGUCGAUACAAAUCUCUAACGAACGUCAUGAUUCAGGAAUUGGUAGUUCAGAUACCAGUCACAGGACUAAUUUAGGAAAUAGAAGGAGCAGCAAAACACCUGAACUACAAGAUCACUCAUUGAGAGGGUUGGAAGUGCUUGGAUUGACGUUUGUGGAACUUCAGACUUGAAAACAAGUGUGUGCAGAUCUUUUGGUGAUGGGCAGCCAGAGGAGCAGACGCCAGGGCAGAUACAAGGAAAGAAGCUCCACAGAUGCGGCCUGACUUGCUCAGUGUUCCCAGCAACUUCUGUUUCUAUUGGAGAAGAAGUCGUUUGAACGUGUGCUGCUCUCUCAAGUGUUAAAUAAUGAUUCACGUAGGCAGGCAGUAUGUAGCUCGUGUUUAUUGCAAAAUCUCUGGAGGCGUCAGAGUGUGAUUUGCAUCUUUUAAUUUGGUUGAGUGGAGAACAUGCAAAACUAAAACAUUUAAGCAUUUUCCCCCACUGACAAAAUAACCAGCUGACUGUCUGUAUGUUAUACUUCCAGUGAUAAGCACCCAUGUGAUUCGGGUUGAUUAGCGGCUUAUCACGCUAGUUGGCUUGGCAGCAAAUUAUGUUUAUAAUAGUACAAAGUUCAGGAAUUACCCUUGUCUACUUCAACAUUUUUAUUAAGGGGAACAAUACAGACUGUGUUGUUCACUGAGGAAGUUCACGAGGCAAAACCUAACAUCUUGUUUUUUCCUCCAUGGAUGUGAAACUUGCAGAACAAGAGCUUUACUGAGUGCCGGUUAGGACACAGCUGCCUCAGGUCUUAUGAAAGCAUUUGAUCGUUGCAGCUGCAUACUUAAAGAUAAGCCGUUGGGUGGAUCUGUGUUGGUUCAAGAUAAUCUUGGGCUAAAGAUGUCUCAGUGGUUGAAUUAUCCUUAGCAGCCCCCCACCCCCCCCCCCCCAUCGCUCAAACAAGGCCUACAUCUUGUAAUGUAAAUAUGUUUUAGAGUUUUCCGAGAAGCUUGGCAGACAGUGAUCUCAAUGAUAAGCUGAUGGGUUUAACCGGUUAAACUAGCAGUAAGCCAACCCGAAGCCUUGGUUCUUGCCAACCUGAGGCUGAUACACUCAGCUAACAGUUAAGCUCCUGUUAACCCUGCGCCAAAGCCCCAACAGGGAGGGUGGUCCUU